rnacentral:rRNA from 1 species
GAGUUUGAUUCCUGGCUCAGGACGAACGCUGGCGGCGUGCUUAACACAUGCAAGUCGAACGGUAAGGCCCUUCGGGGUACACGAGUGGCGAACGGGUGAGUAACACGUGGGUAAUCUGCCCUGCACAUCGGGAUAAGCCUGGGAAACUGGGUCUAAUACCGGAUAGGACCACAGAACACAUGUCCUGUGGUGGAAAGCUUUUGCGGUGUGGGAUGGGCCCGCGGCCUAUCAGCUUGUUGGUGGGGUGAUGGCCUACCAAGGCGACGACGGGUAGCCGGCCUGAGAGGGUGUCCGGCCACACUGGGACUGAGAUACGGCCCAGACUCCUACGGGAGGCAGCAGUGGGGAAUAUUGCACAAUGGGCGAAAGCCUGAUGCAGCGACGCCGCGUGGGGGAUGACGGCCUUCGGGUUGUAAACCUCUUUCACCAUCGACGAAGGUCCGGGUUUUCUCGGAUUGACGGUAGGUGGAGAAGAAGCACCGGCCAACUACGUGCCAGCAGCCGCGGUAAUACGUAGGGUGCGAGCGUUGUCCGGAAUUACUGGGCGUAAAGAGCUCGUAGGUGGUUUGUCGCGUUGUUCGUGAAAUCUCACGGCUUAACUGUGAGCGUGCGGGCGAUACGGGCAGACUUGAGUACUGCAGGGGAGACUGGAAUUCCUGGUGUAGCGGUGGAAUGCGCAGAUAUCAGGAGGAACACCGGUGGCGAAGGCGGGUCUCUGGGCAGUAACUGACGCUGAGGAGCGAAAGCGUGGGGAGCGAACAGGAUUAGAUACCCUGGUAGUCCACGCCGUAAACGGUGGGUACUAGGUGUGGGUUUCCUUCCUUGGGAUCCGUGCCGUAGCUAACGCAUUAAGUACCCCGCCUGGGGAGUACGGCCGCAAGGCUAAAACUCAAAGAAAUUGACGGGGGCCCGCACAAGCGGCGGAGCAUGUGGAUUAAUUCGAUGCAACGCGAAGAACCUUACCUGGGUUUGACAUGCACAGGACGCCGGCAGAGAUGUCGGUUCCCUUGUGGCCUGUGUGCAGGUGGUGCAUGGCUGUCGUCAGCUCGUGUCGUGAGAUGUUGGGUUAAGUCCCGCAACGAGCGCAACCCUUGUCUCAUGUUGCCAGCGGGUAAUGCCGGGGACUCGUGAGAGACUGCCGGGGUCAACUCGGAGGAAGGUGGGGAUGACGUCAAGUCAUCAUGCCCCUUAUGUCCAGGGCUUCACACAUGCUACAAUGGCCGGUACAAAGGGCUGCGAUGCCGCGAGGUUAAGCGAAUCCUUUUAAAGCCGGUCUCAGUUCGGAUCGGGGUCUGCAACUCGACCCCGUGAAGUCGGAGUCGCUAGUAAUCGCAGAUCAGCAACGCUGCGGUGAAUACGUUCCCGGGCCUUGUACACACCGCCCGUCACGUCAUGAAAGUCGGUAACACCCGAAGCCAGUG